GUACUCUUUCUAGGUUGACACAAUCCUGUAAGAGAUGGACACAUCAAAGGGUAAAGGAAGUUUCCAUAACACCCCAAAAGAGACCAUAAACCUCCUCCUCUUCAGACCCUUUCUGGAGCCACAGCU